rnacentral:rRNA from 1 species
AUGAAAAUUCUCGGGGAACAAAGAAAGACUUUGUUUCUCCUAUGUUUUAUUGCAGUUUGUGGCGUAGUAGCCAAGGAAAAUAGAAAAGGAGGUAGGCCUAAUGGAGGAAAGCGCCAUUGGGCAAUAUAUAAGACAAUCCAGACAGAAGAUGGUGACAUUUUUGAUUGCAUAGAUAUCAAAUCUCAGCCGGCAUUCGACCACCCACUUCUUAGAAACCAUUCAAUACAGAUGGAACCAAGCUCACAUCCUAUUGGACUCGAUGGCAACUCGAUACCAGAUACAACAUUAGAGUCUAGUACCCAUUUGGUUUCGUGUCCCUUGGGAACAAUUCCAAUAUGGAGAAGUGAGCAACACUAUCCUAUAGUUGACAUUAAGGAACUAACUCAACAAAUAUACACAAGGAAUAUUACUCGGAAUAAUAAGAAUAACACCACUUCGUUGGCAGGUCUUAGCAGAGGCCAAGACAUCUAUGGAACUACCGUAUCAAUAAAUGUCUAUGACCCAGAAGUAUAUGGUACCCAAGAUAAAUCUGGAGGGCUUACAACUAUAAUAAGUGGUUAUUCUUUUGAUAGGGAGCAUACCAAUGCUGUUGGAGUGGGCUUGUUUGUUUGGCAAAGUAACGGAGGUGACAAGGCUGCUAGAUUUCAUAUUUUCUAUGACAAUGGACAAAAACAAUGCUUUGAUCUAAAAUGCCCCGGAUUUAUACAUACGAGUCCAAAUAUACCUUUAGGGGGGAAAUUAUCGCCAAUCUCGAAGUACGAUGGGCCACAAGCUCAUAUGAACACUUUUGUUUAUCAGGAUACAAAUUCAAACUGGUGGGUAAAAUUCGGCAGGGAGAGCACUGUAGUCGGAUAUUGGCCAGGUGAACUCUUCGGUUACCUAAAAUCGAAGGGUACUGUUGGCUACUGGGGUGGUUUGGUUGAAGGUCCUACAAUUAAAUAUAAGCCACCACCCAUGGGUAGCGGACACCCUGCUUCAGAGGGAGAUGGUAAAGCAGCCUAUGUGAAGAACAUCAAAAUUGUGACAAGAGAUCAUCAGCUCGUGACUCCAAUGUCUCGCGAGUUUGACGUGGCCGUAGAAAAUCCGAAGUGCUACUCGGUUGCUCACAAAUCAGACCAAGAUGGUGGAGUACAUGCAAAUUGGGGUGGUUCCGGGGAUUGCACCCUUUGA